GGUGCCCUUCAUAGGGAAUAUGAACGCUCAUGUCUCUCCUGUCUCCACAGAUUCCAGAUAUUGCCCCUCCCGUGAGAGACUUUGCCAUGAACCGCACCUUCAACAUCAUCAGCGUUCAUUUCCUGCAGUUUGAGGUAUCGGCCUGGAUCGCCUGGUUCCACGUGAAACUAAUUCCUGUCCUCCCCAGUUUCACUACAGAGAUGCUCACUCAAACCACCGCACAGACAAACUGCACCAACUACCAAGUCAUGUAAGCACUGUGUAAUCUCUCUGAUGGCUCUUCAGUGCAAGACCUGAAUGAUGCAAGUUAUCGUGGCAGUAGAAGAACAUCAUGACGGCUGGCAAACUUAAGAAAAACUUUAAUAUCUGAAAAAUUCUUCUCUCGUAGUGUGAAAGGAAUGGGCAAGGUCUCCAAGAAAAUGCCGCUCACCAGAAGAAAGGGAAUCGCCAACGUCCUUGUGAAACAUCUGAAGCAGUUCUUGGCCACGUUCAACAAAAGAGGUAACUGGCCCUUGCACACACCAAGCUAGCUUAUAUUAACCUGGAUUCUGACCCAAGAUUUCCUGAGCCUUGCGGAAGCUUCCCAUUUCCAAAUCUUUUAUAAAUUCCCGAGAUGUUGGCGCUUACCUCAGGCUUUGACCCACGUUUUUGUUUAUUUUCUAGCCUGCAGACUGGACAUCCAGAAUGAUGCCGAAUGGCUGGAGGUCAACCUGGGUCCAUUCUCCAAAGAAGUAGACUACUCUGCCUUUAAAGAACUGAACAUUACAGGAGUAAGAGAAACCUCAUUGGCACUUUGAAACGUUGUUCUCCACACCACACCGUUUAAGAAAGCGUCUUUUCCCCAUUUCAAGAUUCAGCUUGCUGUCACUUGCGAUACGUUUUUUUUGCCAAUAACUAUUUUCUUUCUCCACAGCUGGCAACUUUGGACUCGCUCUCACCGGACCAGAAAGCUGAGUUGGUUCUGGACCCCAGUAGUGGUGCUCUUGAGAAUGUGACUGUCUUGACAGAAGUCUUUGGCAGCAUAGUGGGAUCUCCAGACGAUGGGGAACUCGACCGUUUCUGGGAGGCUUGUGCCGCUGUCACGGCGCAGCAAAACAUCACCUACAUUACCAACGCAGCUGUGAGAGACGUCAUGCUCAACCUGACACUGACGGCCCUGGCUCCCAGAUUCCCCACCUUCCAAACGAGCGACUUUACCCUGUGGUUCCAGGUCAAUCUGGUUGUUCUGCUAGCCAGCGUCCGUCCUGCGAGUCUGAGCGUCAUCCCCCUGAACAUCAGCUGUGACUCUUUCAAAGCCAUGUGAGACACUCUUCCCUCUCUUUCACAUCCUUCAGAGGUCCUUACUGCAGGGUUAAGUUUUAAAGAGGUAAGUGCAAAAACAUCCAUUCUCGAGCUGAUGCAUGUCAAUUUUUCCUUUCUCUUAGAAUCGUGGCUUUUGACGAGUCUUUGAAGACACUUCCAGGGAGCGUUUCAGCAGACCUCCAAUCUAGCCGAGAUUAUCUGGCACAGAGUUUCCCACAAGGUAUAGGAUGCCCGACUAGUCACGCGGUGCUUAGCAGUAGAGUAUCGGAUUCCUUCUUGGUACGACUGUGGUCUCCUCACUUCUAACCUUUGCUCUGUUUGUCUUCUCACACAGGCUGU
rnacentral:lncRNA from 1 species